rnacentral:lncRNA from 1 species
AUGGCACAGUAUAUACAAAGAACCUGUGGACAUUGUCCUGCAUACUCAAAGGCCUGCCUAGAACUUUUCUUCAGUUGUUUUAGAUACUGCUUGCUGUUAAGCACUGCUCCCGGUUGUCAGCUCCAAUUCCUCAGAACAAGACAGUACGCAGGCGCAGGCGUAGGUGUUCGGCCACGCCUUUCCAACCUUUGUGUCUGUCUCCACAGCCAUGGAAGAUGCAGACACCUACAUUCUCUGGAAGCUUUCCCUGACAAGGCAGCCACUCGCUGCUUUAUAAAACCCGUAGGGAAACGCCUCUCUCUUUUUGCCGUUUUACUAAGUGUCUGUAUUUUCUUAGAACACAGUUCAGAAGUUACCGUCUCUGACAUUGAAAUGCCUGAGAUAUUGUGAUGAAGUAGGGGAAAAAAAAAGUCUUGGGUUUGAUACAAAAGGAAUGACACGACAAAGGCGAUGGCUGCGGGAUUCUGAGAGUAGGAGAGAGGUGGGAAACAGGGACCACGGGGUCUGGCCCUCGGAGCCACGGUGUUGAAUAGGUCAUUAAGUCGUGCAACUCUCCUCAGCUUAACUGGCCCAACAGAAAAGAAGGCUACAAUCUUCAGACGUGUUUAAAGACUCUAUGAAAGUCUGUGGUUAUAGCCUAAUUGAUAACUUUAUGAAAAAAAAGUUUUUGGGGCUGAGGCUGUGUACAAGUCUACAG